rnacentral:rRNA from 1 species
UGGGGAAUUUUGGACAAUGGGCGCAAGCCUGAUCCAGCAAUGCCGCGUGCAGGAUGAAGGCCUUCGGGUUGUAAACUGCUUUUGUACGGAGCGAAAAGGUCUGCCCUAAUACGGUGGGCUCAUGACGGUACCGUAAGAAUAAGCACCGGCUAACUACGUGCCAGCAGCCGCGGUAAUACGUAGGGUGCGAGCGUUAAUCGGAAUUACUGGGCGUAAAGCGUGCGCAGGCGGUUAUAUAAGACAGAUGUGAAAUCCCCGGGCUCAACCUGGGAACUGCCUUUGUGACUGCAUAGCUAGAGUACGGUAGAGGGGGAUGGAAUUCCGCGUGUAGCAGUGAAAUGCGUAGAUAUGCGGAGGAAUACCAGUGGCGAAGGCGCUGACCUGGACGAAGAUUGACGCUGAGGUGCGAAAGCGCGGGGAGCAAACA